rnacentral:rRNA from 1 species
AACGAACGCUGGCGGCAGGCCUAACACAUGCAAGUCGAGCGAGGACUUCGGUUCUAGCGGCGGACGGGUGAGUAACGCGUGGGAAUGUGCCCUUCUCUACGGAAUAGCCCUGGGAAACUGGGAGUAAUACCGUAUACGCCCUAUUGGGGAAAGAUUUAUCGGAGAAGGAUCAGCCCGCGUUGGAUUAGGUAGUUGGUGGGGUAAUGGCCUACCAAGCCGAAGAUCCAUAGCUGGUUUGAGAGGAUGAUCAGCCACACUGGGACUGAGACACGGCCCAGACACCUACGGGAGGCAGCAGUGGGGAAUCUUAGACAAUGCGGGCAAACCUGAUCUAGCCAUGCCGAGUGAGUGAUGAAGGCCUUAGGGUUGUAAAGCUCUUUCAGCUGGGAAGAUAAUGACGGUACCAGCAGAAGAAGCCCCGGCGAACUCCGU